rnacentral:rRNA from 1 species
GACAUAGGUGGCGAACGUUAUCCGGAAUUACUGGGCGUAAAGAGCGUGUAGGCGGCCAUACAGGUCCGUUGUGAAAACUGGAGGCUUAACCUCCAGACGUCGAUGGAAACCGUAUGGCUAGAGUCCGGAAGAGGAGAGUGGAAUUCCUGGUGUAGCGGUGAAAUGCGCAGAUAUCAGGAAGAACACCCGUGGCGAAGGCGGCUCUCUGGGACGGUACUGACGCUGAGACGCGAAAGCGUGGGGAGCGAACAGG